rnacentral:rRNA from 1 species
GACGAACGCUGGCGGCGUGCUUAACACAUGCAAGUCGAACGGAAAGGCCCCUUUGGGGGUCCUCGAGUGGCGAACGGGUGCGUAACACGUUAGUAACCUGCCCUUUACUUCGGGAUAACUUCAGGAAACUGGGGCUAAUACCGGAUAGGAAUCCUUGCUGCAUGGUGAGGGUUGGAAAGCUUCGGCGGUUUUGGAUGGACUCGCGGCUUAUCAGCUUGUUGGUGGGGUAGUGGCUUACCAAGGCUUUGACGGGUAGCCGGCCUGAGAGGGCGACCGGCCACAUUGGGACUGAGACACGGCACAGAGUCCGAAGGGAGGCAGAAGGGGGGAAGAUUGCACAAUGGGCGGAAGCCUGAUGCAGAAACGCCGCGGGCGGGAGGACGGCCUUCGCGUUGAAAACCGCUUUCAGCAGGGGCGAAGCGUGUGGUGACGGUACCUGAAGAAGAAGCACCGGCUAACUACGUG